rnacentral:miRNA from 1 species
UGCGCAGGGGAGAUGAUACUGU